CGCGUAGGUGGCCCGUUAAGUUGCCGGUGAAAUCCCGCGGCUCAACCGCGGGGCUGCCGGUAAGACUGGCGGGCUCGAGCACGGUAGAGGCAGAUGGAAUUCCCGGUGUAGCGGUGGAAUGCGUAGAGAUCGGGAAGAACACCAGUGGCGAAGGCGUUCUGCUGGGCCGUUGCUGACACUGAGGCGCGACAGCGUGGGGAGCAAACA
rnacentral:rRNA from 1 species